AAGACACAAAACACAAAUUGCUGUACCGAGUCUGGGAUAACAGUUGAAAUGGUGCGCGCCGAGAUGGUAGUGCUCCUGGAAGCUGGUCUGCACUGUUGUCCACCCAGCUAGACAACAUUUGCGCUGCCAGACGCGACGUAGUCAUGGCUAGGGAUUGUGGUCGUAAAGCCGAAUGGUUGUAAGUUCCAUAGGUCGUAAGUCGAUCAAUACCUGUAUAUUAUUAGCCUGUAAAUGUUCUCC